CAAUAGCGUAUAUUAAAGUUGUUGCAGUUAAAAAGCUCGUAGUUGGAUUUCUGAUCGAGACAUCAGGUCGGGUCCGAGAGGAUCAUGUACUUUGAUUUUGUUUUGAUCAUCCUUGGGGAGAGCAUUUCUGGCAUUCAGUUGUCGGGAUUGGGAUCCUCAUCGUUUACUGUGAAAAAAUUAGAGUGUUCAAAGCAGGCCUCGGCCUCUGAAUACAUUAGCAUGGAAUAAUAAGAUAGGACUUUGGUGGUCUAUUUUGUUGGUUUGCACGCCAAAGUAAUGAUUAAUAGGGAUAAUUGGGGGUAUUCGUAUUCAAUUGUCAGAGGUGAAAUUCUUGGAUUUAUGGAAGACGAACUACUGCGAAAGCAUUUACCAAGGAUGUUUUCAUUAA
rnacentral:rRNA from 1 species